GGGGUGGAGAUGAGAUCCAGGGGGUGGAGAUGGGUAGGUUCAGGGGUGGAGAUGGGAUCCAGGGGGUGGAGAUGGGUAGGUUUAGGGGUGGAGAUGAGAUCCAGGGGGUGGAGAUGGGUAGGUUCAGGGGUGGAGAUGGGAUCCAGGGGGUGGAGAUGGGUAGGUUCAGGGGUGGAGAUGGGAUCCAGGGUGUGGAGAUGGGAUCCAGGGGGUGGAGAUGGGAAGGUUUAGGAUGGAGAUGGGAUCCAGGGGGUGGAGAUGGGUAGGUUCAGGGGUGGAGAUGGGAUCCAGGGGGUGGAGAUGGGUAGGUUUAGGAUGGAGAUGGGAUCCAGGGGGUGGAGAUGGGUAGGUUCAGGGGUGGAGAUGGGAUCCAAGGGGUGGAGAUGGUUAGGUUAAGAGGUGGAGAUGGGAUCCAGGGGGUGGAGAUGGGUAGGUUUAGGGGUGGAGAUGGGAUCCAGGGGUGGAAAUGGUUAGGUAUAGG
ensembl:lncRNA